GUGCUGACUUUGGUAACACAUAUACUAAAAUUGGAAGGAUACAGAGAAGAUUAGACUGGUCUGUGGACAAGGACGACACACAAAUUUGUGACUUAUUCCAUAUUUGA